rnacentral:rRNA from 1 species
GACGAACGCUGGCGGCGUGCUUAACACAUGCAAGUCGAGCGGACAGGCCCUGCUUUUGUUGGGUGCUCGAGUGGCGAACGGGUGAGUAACACGUGAGUAACCUGCCCUUGACUUUGUGAUAACUUCAGGAAACUGGGGCUAAUACCGGAUAUGAGCUACUGCUGCAUGGUGGUGGUUGGAAAAAUUCGGCGGUUGGGGAUGGAUUCGCGGCUUAUCAGCUUGUUGGUGGGGUAGUGGCUUACCAAGGCUUUGACGGGUAGCCGGCCUGAGAGGGUGACCGGCCACAUUGGGACUGAGAUACGGACCAGACUCCUACGGGAGGCAGCAGUGGGGAAUAUUGCACAAUGGGCGGAAGCCUGAUGUAGCAACGCCGCGUGCGGGAUGAUGGCCUUCGGGUUGUAAACCGCUUUCGCCUGUGAUGAACAGUGCUUGACGGUAAUGGGUAAAGAAGCAACGGCUAACUACGUG